CCAAGGUUCCAGCAUGCAAAGCCCAGGUCUCUGCAAGAGAAAUUCCGUAACAACUGGGACUCCGGACCCUAAGCAGCAGAUGGAUCUUUGUCAGUCUCUGGACACACUCUGGAAAUUACUCUUGACAACCUUGGACUUCCUCAUUGCUGCCGACGUGUCAAAUGAUCUGCCUGACCCUGUUUGCUGUCACUGGACCUGCUCUGCUCGCCUUGCUCAGGAAGAGAAAAUACAGUGCACAGAGGAGACGGAGCAUUUCAGCAGUGUGUGUUGCUGCAGUAAGAGAUGGACUACGUUCUGAACAGGAUAACCCUACCCCAGGAAGUAUGCAACUUGCUUUAUCUGGGUUAAUGGGUUUUUGGAGAAGGAGACAAACAACAGCAACACGUGCUCCCAGCUGACUGAUUCCUUCCUCAUGGCUGCGUAGAUGGAAGUGUUGGCCGAGGACUAAAACAUGAGGAAACUCCAAGCAGAACGAGAGAAAGCAGACUUGUGGUUUGUUCGUUUUAACAUUCCAAAGGUGAAAAGCAUCUGGAAGGGAAAAAUGGCAACAACAAAAACCAAACAAAAAGAACAACUCAUGGUAUUCUAGGUUGGUUUUGUGCAUGAUGAAAAACAUGCUCCUUGUAGAACACGUGGACACCAAAGGGAUGAAAGUUAUCACAUUCCAAUUAUAUUUGUUCUUGUUAUAGGUAAACAUAUGCAGAUGCUGUUGAAUUUGGAGGUGUUUUUAGUGAUUUCUUUUUCUUCCUUUGUUCCCCUUUCUCCUCUUGCUAAUACUUCUUUUUUCCCUCUUUUCCCCCAUUUUCUUCUGGGCCUUCUGUUUCCUCCUGGAAUAAUAACAGCGUCUUCAAACUGCAUCAUGGAACUCUGGAAGGGAAAAUCCCAACCAGCAGCGUGGUGUUUUAUUGGUGUUGCAUG
rnacentral:lncRNA from 1 species